GUCACACACACACAAAAAAAUGGUAGCUCCUGAGCCAACACUUUUCCGCUCCCCCACCCGCUGCGUCUCAGCAUUCCUUAGGCUCUCCCCUUGGGAGACUCACAUGUAUGGGGCGGGGGAGCGGGGGUUUCCUAGGCCCUGACUCAGCUAGAGCGUCUGGCUGACCCGUCAUUGUCCAGGGAAGCCAUGGAUCUGGUGGCCGCAGCCCAGCGCCGUCCUCACCACCCAGGCCUGCCUGGAGCCCAGUGGCUGUCAGGGCAGCCGAGACCAGAAGCGCAGGUGGAGCCAAGGCCCCGCUGCAGUCCGCAGAGUUGCAACUCUGGGAGCUGAGCCCUCACAAGCCUUGCUUUUCACCUCCUCCCAGUGCUACCAGCCAGACCCCGAGGGCCCGGGACCCUCCAUGUACCCAUCCACACUUCUCGGCCCACCCCUCCCUGACAGCCCCGGCACCCCGGGAGGGAGCAGGUGCGUCCCGCUUCGGGCCCUCUGAACCCCCUCCAUUUCGGGCUGUUUCAGACUUCGGCCUCUCUGAAGCUCCUCCAUUUCUGGCUGCUUUUCACUGCCGUCUGCCUGCCUGUGUUCUUGUCUUCACGCCGGCCUUUGGAGAGGCUCUGCAUUGAACGACCUUGCACUGGGCCGGUUUCUUUUCUAAAGGACUGCAGUGUGAGAAGGCAGCACCGCCCCGGCGCCCGCGAGGAAGCCGAACUGCUCAUAAGUUAAGCAGCCCCAGCCAGGUCACGGGGCAAGGAAGCCGCCUGCGACCUCGGAAACCCCUGGUUCAUCCCAUGACCCACCCCCGUUCAUCCGGUGACCCACCCCUCACCCCGGUUCAUCC